CCUACUGGGGGCAUCAUUGAGGAAUAUUGGUCAAUGGGCGCUAGCCUGAACCAGCCAAGUAGCGUGAAGGAUGACUGCCCUAUGGGUUGUAAACUUCUUUUAUAUGGGAAUAAAGUGCAGUAUGUAUACUGCUUUGCAUGUACCUUAUGAAUAAGGAUCGGCUAACUCCGUGCCAGCAGCCGCGGUAAUACGGAGGAUCCGAGCGUUAUCCGGAUUUAUUGGGUUUAAAGGGAGCGUAGGAGGGUUGUUAAGUCAGUUGUGAAAGUUUGAGGCUCAACCGUAAAAUUGAAGUUGAUAAUGGAAUAAUUGAGUAAAGUAGAGGUAGGAGGAAUUAGUGGUGUAGAGGUGAAAUGAUUAGAUAUAAAGAAGAAAUAAGAUUGAGAAGGAAGAAUGAUGGAAUGUAAAUGAAGAUGAUGAUAGAAAGUGUGGGUAUAAAAAAGGAUUAGAUAAAAGAGUAGGC
rnacentral:rRNA from 1 species